rnacentral:rRNA from 2 species
GGCAAAAGCUCAACUUUGAAAUCGCCUCGGCGAGUUGUAGUCUGGAGGUCUUCAUUCCAUACUUUUGCUCGGUGUAAGUCCUUUGGAACAAGGCGCCAUUGAGGGUGACAGCCCCGUAUCACCUGUUGCAAAAGUAUCUUUGAAGCACCGACGAGUCGAGUUGUUUGGGAAUGCAGCUCUAAGUGGGUGGUAAAUUCCAUCUAAAGCUAAAUAUUGGCGAGAGACCGAUAGCGAACAAGUACAGUGAUGGAAAGAUGAAAAGCACUUUGAAAAGAGAGUGAAACAGUACGUGAAAUUGUUGAAAGGGAAGGGCUUGCACCCAGACACGGCCUCGGCCGGGCCAGCAUCUGGUGGAGGGGAACGAAAAAGGGCCGCUGAUGUAGCAGCAGAACUUGUUCUGUUGUGUUAUACAACGGCCUCCUGGUUCCUCCCCCGCCAGAGGACUGCAUUCGUA